rnacentral:rRNA from 1 species
CCUACGGGAGGCAGCAGUGGGGAAUAUUGCACAAUGGGCGAAAGCCCGAUGCAGCAACGCCGCGUGAGUGAUGAAGGCCUUCGGGUAGUAAAGCUCUGUCUUCUGGGACGAUAAUGACGGUACCAGAGGAGGAAGCCACGGCUAACUACGUGCCAGCAGCCGCGGUAAU